UGGUAGUUACACAGCCUACGCGCCGGCGGUGAAGGGACGCUUCACCGUCUCCAAAAACAACGGGCAGAGCACGGCCACCCUGCAGAUGAACAGCCUCAAGGCCGAAGACACCGCCACCUACUACUGCGCGAGAGAAGCUGGUAGUGGUUGUUGGGGUGCUCCUAAUG